rnacentral:rRNA from 1 species
GAGUUUGAUCCUGGCUCAGGACGAACGCUGGCGGCGUGCCUAAUACAUGCAAGUCGGGCGGAAUGAAGAAGAAGCUUGCUUCUUCUGAUUUUAGCGGCGGACGGGUGAGUAACACGUGGGCAACCUACCUUGUAGAUUGGGAUAACUCCGGGAAACCGGGGCUAAUACCGAAUAAUCCAUUUUGCUUCAUGGCGAAAUGUUAAAAGGCGGCUUCGGCUGUCACUGCAAGAUGGGCCCGCGGCGCAUUAGCUAGUUGGUAAGGUAACGGCUUACCAAGGCGACGAUGCGUAGCCGACCUGAGAGGGUGAUCGGCCACACUGGGACUGAGACACGGCCCAGACUCCUACGGGAGGCAGCAGUAGGGAAUCUUCCACAAUGGACGAAAGUCUGAUGGAGCAACGCCGCGUGAGUGAAGAAGGUUUUCGGAUCGUAAAACUCUGUUGUAAGGGAAGAACACGUACGAGAGUAACUGCUCGUACCUUGACGGUACCUUAUUAGAAAGCCACGGCUAACUACGUGCCAGCAGCCGCGGUAAUACGUAGGUGGCAAGCGUUGUCCGGAAUUAUUGGGCGUAAAGCGCGCGCAGGCGGUCCUUUAAGUCUGAUGUGAAAGCCCACGGCUCAACCGUGGAGGGUCAUUGGAAACUGGGGGACUUGAGUACAGAAGAGGAAAGCGGAAUUCCAAGUGUAGCGGUGAAAUGCGUAGAGAUUUGGAGGAACACCAGUGGCGAAGGCGGCUUUCUGGUCUGUAACUGACGCUGAGGCGCGAAAGCGUGGGGAGCAAACAGGAUUAGAUACCCU